UGAAAGGAUGGACCAUAGUGCUG
rnacentral:misc_RNA from 1 species